rnacentral:rRNA from 1 species
GCCCUGGGCAUGGUCUAGCCAUGCGAGUCAUUGUAGCAAUACAAGGCGGACGGCUCAGUAACACGUAGUCACACCUAACUCGUGGACGUGGAUAACCUCGGGAAACUGAGAAUAAACCACGAUAGAUCAUAGUGCCUGGAACGGCUUAUGGUUCAAACAGUUUACUGCCAUGGGAUGGGACUGCGGCCUAUCAGCUUGUUGGUGAGGUAAUGGCCCACCAAGGCGAUUACAGGUACGGGCUCUGAGAGGAGAAGCCCGGAGAUGGGUACUGAGACACGGACCCAGGCCCUAUGGGGCGCAGCAGGCGAGAAACCUUAGCAAUGUGCGAAAGCACGACUGGGUCAGUCCGAGUGAUUUCUGAUAAAGGAGUCUUUUGCUUGUCCUAAAAGCACAGGUGAAUAAGGGGUGGGCAAGUCUGGUGUCAGCCGCCGCGGUAAUACCAGCACCUCGAGUGGUCAGGACGUUUAUUGGGCCUAAAGCAUCCGUAGCCGGCUUUGCAAGUCUUCGGUUAAAUCCACCUGCUUAACAGAUGGGCUGCUGGAGAUACUACAGAGCUAGGGAGUGGGAGAGGCAGACGGUAUUCAGUGGGUAGGGGUAAAAUCCUCUGAUCCAUCGAGGACCACCAGUGGCGAAGGCGGUCUACCAGAACGCGUUCGACGGUGAGGGAUGAAAGCUGGGGGAGCAAACCGGAUUAGAUACCCGGGUAGUCCCAGCUGUAACGAUGCAACUCGGUGAUGCAUUGGCCUUACGGCCAAUGCAGUGCCGCAGGGAGCCGUUAAGUUGCCGCUGGAAGUACGGACGCAGGUCUGAAAC